GCCACUUUUUCCAGGAUUACAAUUUGAAGAAAAAGAAGAAGAGUAUCUUCGCUUUCUUCAAGAUCUCACUAAUGAUAUUUUGAUUAGAAGUUGUUAUCACAGAGAGGCAUUAGAAGAUGUAUUUCAAAUGCACAUUAAAAGUAAGAGGCAUAACCUUGAUGAGGUAAAAAUGACAAGAAUAGUUCAAGGCCUGAAGAAAGAGCUGAACAUCACAAACCAACCACACCUUUCCAUCAGCUGUGAGGGCACAUGGCAAAAGGAUGCCAACAUUCCUGCAACGUGCUUUUAACUCACAGUUUUGGGCAUUUCAGAGAGCAUUGAAAAUCAGUUGGGACAGCGAACUAGUUUUUACACCAAUUACAAUGUAAACCUUGGGUAAACAGGAAAACGAAGAAGAGAUCCACCUAAUGCAUCUGCCCAGGAUGUAACACAGUAUCACUAUGGCAACAACCAGGUUAGCAUGCUGAGAACAAUACCAGAGCACCAAAGACAUUUUUACAGGGGCUUUCACAAUCAGAAUAGAAAGCCAGAUACAAGUGUCCUUUAAUUCAUUACAGAUAGUUGACAAUCCUAUGAGAAAUCCUGAUAAAGCACUUGGAUUUUUUUCCUCUGCAUGCUUGAUAUACAGAUAGGUUGGAAAUUAAGUUUUCAAUACAGCUUCCCUAUGUGAAUUGCAACCUGAAAUCUCAUCAGUUUGCAAGAGGAUGUAGAAUAUUAAGUCCCACUUUCAAGAGAUUUAGGCAGUAAUCUAAGAUCUCUUUAAAAUCUUAACCUAUAUUAGCUUAUAUGUGAAAAAGCUAAGACUAGCUAGUACCACAAUACAUACUAGUUACUGAAAAAAACCCAGGCAUUACAAUCUUUCAAAAUGCAAACAUUUCACACUUAAUGAAAUCUAAACACUUAUAAAAUACAAGUGCAGCCAAGUAGGAAAAUAUGUAAUGACUAAAGCCUCAAUCCUUUCUUUUACUGAUGAUAGUCGCUUCUUUCAUUAUAACAUAGUUGUUUAAAUUUGUCUGGUUAAGAUUAGACAGCUUUCUAAAGAUAGAUGUUUUUUCCACACUCUUCUCCAAGUGGGACACUUUUCAAGGCAUCAGAUUAAAAUAGAAAAACAAUGAUUGGGAUAAAUAAAACAUACUAGUUUUGUUUGGGUUUAUUCUGUUGUCCGCUACCAGUGCCUUUUCACAUACCGGCUUCUACCUUGAGACUUAAUUUUUUAAAAAAUUGCUAAUUCCACAGAUGAUCCCUAAAGAAGUUCACCACAUAAAACCUGUCUGAAAUAAUUUAAUUUUUACAAGCAGCUUUGUCAGUAUCCUGACAGAAGAUGAGGCAAUAAAAUGCAUCCUUUAAGAUGGGCCCCUUUCAGUCUCUCUGGAAAAUGCCUCUAGGCAUAGUGCCACAAGGAUUGUUUUAAUUACCUAAUACUUAAGUUAAAAACAAUUUGAGAUGUUUAAGAAAAAGCCACAAGGUUUACUGAUCCUACACCAACCACAGAUAACCUUAGUUAGUAAAGGAUAAGGUCAUAUAAGAUUUUGUUCUUUUGAACCGUAUUUUUGUUUGUCUGAUUUGUUACUCAUUUGAUACAAAUGCUCAAUUUCGUUAAAGUUUUUUUCAGUUAGACUGAUGAGUAGAUUAUUUGUUCUCAUAAACUGACUGUAUUCUAACAGACAAUGCUGCAAACAAAGCAGAAUAAUGGUGUGUAUGUGUAUGCAAAAAGAAAAAAACACUGCUUUGAGCAUAAAAUUAACUCACCUUCAAGUAGAAGGUCUCAUCA